rnacentral:rRNA from 1 species
UAGGGAAUCUUCGGCAAUGGGGGGAACCCUGACCGAGCAACGCCGCGUGAGUGAAGAAGGUUUUCGGAUCGUAAAGCUCUGUUGUUAAGGAAGAACGAGUGUGAGAAUGGAAAGUUCAUACUGUGACGGUAUCUAACCAGAAAGCCACGGCUAACUACGUGCCAGCAGCCGCGGUAAUACGUAGGUGGCAAGCGUUGUCCGGAUUUAUUGGGCGUAAAGCGAGCGCAGGCGGUCAAUUAAGUCUGAUGUGAAAGCCCCCGGCUCAACCGGGGAGGGUCAUUGGAAACUGGUUGACUUGAGUGCAGAAGAGGAGAGUGGAAUUCCAUGUGUAGCGGUGAAAUGCGUAGAUAUAUGGAGGAACACCAGUGGCGAAGGCGACUCUCUGGUCUGUAACUGACGCUGAGGUUCGAAAGCGUGGGUAGCAAACAGG